CUGCCGCACCGCACCUGCGCUUCUCAGCCCUUGGGCGGUCAGUGGGACCCGGCGCCACGGAGCAGGGGGCGGUGCCCGUUGCGGAGGCUCGGGCCGCGCGGGAGCCCACCAUGGGGGGGGCUCGGGAAUGGCGGGCUGCAGGCCCCGAGCCCUGCCCCUCUGGGAGGCGGCUGAAACCCGGUGAGAAUUCGAGCGUGGCGCGGGUGGGCCAGCAGUGUUUGGGGACCCGGAGCACUCUCCACAGCUGCUGGUCCAGGUGCUAAGUCCCUCACUGCCCAGCACCUGCAGCGCCGACCGGCCGCUCUUGAGUGCGGGGCCUGCAGAGCCCACGCCCACCCGGAACUCGCGCUGGCCCGUGAGCGCCGUGCCGCAGCCCCGGUUCCCGCCCGCGCCUCUCCCUCCACACUUCGCCGCAAGCAGAGGGAGCCGGCUCCGGCCUCAGCUGGCCCAGAGAGGGGCUCCCUCAGUGCAGUGGCGAGCUGAAGGGCUCCUCAAGGGCGGCUGGAGUGGACGCUGAGGCCGAGGAGACGCCAAGAGCAAACGAGGGCUGCUAGUACAUUGUCACCUCUCACUGGUAACUACAGUUGCUGUCAGUUUAACUGAUGCAAGAGAAGAUAAGGAAGACAAGAUCUCAACCACUUUCAGCAAAGCUUUGCGGAGAAUGCAACAUCCUUCAAGACACCAUGAAGCUCCACGCAUCUGGUCAUCUUGUUUCUUCAGGGAAUAAAUUUAUUGUUCUCUGCUUCAGGGCAGGCACACUUGGCCAGUAAAGAAAAUCCCCCCAGCAGAGAAUUGCAGAUACUCACAGCAAGAAGCCUUUCUUGUGAAUGGAGGAUGGAUGUGGAGCUGGUCCGAGCAGUCUGCCUACUGCAUCUGCUAUGACACCCAGCAAACUGGAAGGGAAAAGCAGUUACAAAGUUUCCAACCAGCACAAAUUCCAUAGUCAGGUUUUCCACAUGUGGGGAAAUGACAGGGGUCAGCACAUCCAACGUGCAAUGGACAAGCCUUGCACUGGGUAAACCACGUUCAUGGUCAUGGAAUCUCAUUUACCAGGCUCCACUGAAAUGAAUGAAACCUGAAAUGGUAGAGAAAACUGCAUAGAAGAGGUGAGAUUUGAUCUGGGGCCUGAUGGAAGAGGCAAGAUUGGAGAGGAUAAAGGGUUGAGUGGAUAACAUAAGUCACAGCACAGAAAUGAGAAUAUGCUCAGUUUUGCAGAGAAGCAAUGCCUAACUAGAGUACAAGUGCAUAUUGAAGCCAUGGGAAAUUAUACUGGGUGAAGAUGGUGGAUAAAGAGAUGUCAGAGGAGUGUAAACAUGAAGCAGCAGAACAUAGGGAAUGGCUGAGCACAGGGAAUAAAAGAAUUAAAAUUGGGUUUGGAGAGAUUAGUUGGUCAAGGUUAUGCAAGACACACUGGAAGGGUGGAGACUGGCAUCAAGCCAGUUAACUAGGGCAUUGCUGUAGUGUUCCUUCCAUGAGACAGCAAGGACUUGGGCCAGGACAUGUGUGUCAGUGCAUAUGGUGAGACAGGAUGAAAGCUUUUCAAGGAAGAAAAAUACCUGGCUUGAGCAUGCUGGGCUAGAGAUGAUGGUAGGACUUCUUGUCUAGCAGGAGUUUGAAGGUAUGAGGCUGGAGCUUAGGGGAGAGGGCAGCAGGGAGAAACAGACUGACACAGAAGGGAGAGCCAAUGGCAUAGAAGUUACAACUGAAACUGAGAAUGGAAGAGAUUUCAGAAAGAAAGAAUGUGAAGGGAAGGACAGAGAAAUGUGAGUUGGGAAGCACCCACAUUUAGGACAUAGGAUGAGUAAGAUGAGCAAGCGCAAGAGGGAACACCCGGUCUGGAGUGUGAGACUCAGAGUGUGGCCAGAGAACCAAGGGAGCAGAGUGCUAAGGAGGAGGAUGUCACCACUAGGGCAGGAAGAAGCUGGAUGAUCCAGAAGGUGAGGUCCUUUAGGAGAAGAGUUUCAAUGGCAAUCUGGGACUGGAAACGGGAUCACAUGGAUGAAGGAGGAGCAGCAAGGCGAUGGGCCAGUGGUCACAUCAAAUAGUGAAGCAGUUAUGAUGACAGGCUCUGAUGGUCACAGUACCUGAAUCCUGGUUCCACCCAAACUGUACAACUUAACGAGUAGAAGUGUAUCUAAGUCCCAGUGCACUGGGUUGAAUAUGGUCCCCCAAAUUCAUGUCCUUCCCAGAUCAGAAUGUGACCUUCUUUCGCAGUAGGGUCAUUACAGACAUAACUAGUUAAAAUGAGGUUAUAAUGGAGAAGGGUGGCUCCAUAAUCCAAUAUGACUGGUGUCCUUAUAAGAAGAGGAGAGAGACACAGAGAGAGACAUGCACAGGGAAGACACCCAGCGUGAUGACAGAGGUAGAGACUGAGGUUAUGCAGUUGCAAGCCAAGGAACGCUAAGGACUGCCGGCAACACCAGAAACUAAGAAAAAGGCACAGAACAGAGUCUCCCUUGAGGCUUCAGAAGGGGCUUGCCAACACCUUGAUUUUGGACUACCAGCCUCUAGGUCUAUGAGAAAAUAAAUUUCUGCUAUUGUAAGCCACCAGUUUAUAGUAUUUUAUUAUGGCAGCAUCAGGAAACUAAUAUACUCAUCCUUAAAGUGAGGAGAAUAACACUUUGCUCAUAGGGAGGAUUAAUAUAACAUGAAAAAUGCUUAACACAGUGUCUGCCCCAUAGAAAGAACUCAGUUAAAGCCAGGUGCGGUGGCUCACACCUGUAAUCCCAACCACUAGGAAGGCUGAGGCAGGAAGAUUGCUUGAGGCCAGGAGUUCGAGACCAGCCUGGGCAACAGAGCGGGACCCCAUCGCUAGGGGAAAAAAACGGAACUCAGUUAAAUGUUGGCAAUAUACUGUGUUAUUCUUUGAAGAAUUUUU
rnacentral:lncRNA from 1 species